GGGUGAGUAACACGUGGGUAACCUGCCUGUAAGACUGGGAUAACUCCGGGAAACCGGAGCUAAUACCGGAUAGUUCCUUGAACCGCAUGGUUCAAGGAUGAAAGACGGUUUCGGCUGUCACUUACAGAUGGACCCGCGGCGCAUUAGCUAGUUGGUGGGGUAAUGGCUCACCAAGGCGACGAUGCGUAGCCGACCUGAGAGGGUGAUCGGCCACACUGGGACUGAGACACGGCCCAGACUCCUACGGGAGGCAGCAGUAGGGAAUCUUCCGCAAUGGACGAAAGUCUGACGGAGCAACGCCGCGUGAGUGAUGAAGGUUUUCGGAUCGUAAAGCUCUGUUGUUAGGGAAGAACAAGUGCGAGAGUAACUGCUCGCACCUUGACGGUACCUAACCAGAAAGCCACGGCUAACUACGUGCCAGCAGCCGCGGUAAUACGUAGGUGGCAAGCGUUGUCCGGAAUUAUUGGGCGUAAAGGGCUCGCAGGCGGUUUCUUAAGUCUGAUGUGAAAGCCCCCGGCUCAACCGGGGAGGGUCAUUGGAAACUGGGAAACUUGAGUGCAGAAGAGGAGAGUGGAAUUCCACGUGUAGCGGUGAAAUGCGUAGAGAUGUGGAGGAACCCCAGUGGGCGAAGGCGACUCUUUUGUUCUGUAACUGACGCUGAGGAGCGAAAGCGUGGGGAGCGAACAGGAUUAGAUACCCUGGUAGUCCACGCCGUAAACGAUGAGUGCUAAGUGUUAGGGGGUUUCCGCCCCUUAGUGCUGCAGCUAACGCAUUAAGCACUCCGCCUGGGGAGUACGGUCGCAAGACUGAAACUCAAAGGAAUUGACGGGGGCCCGCACAAGCGGUGGAGCAUGUGGUUUAAUUCGAAGCAACGCGAAGAACCUUACCAGGUCUUGACAUCCUCUGACAACCCUAGAGAUAGGGCUUUCCCUUCGGGGACAGAGUGACAGGUGGUGCAUGGUUGUUGUCAACUUGUGUCGUGAGAAGUUGGGGUUAAGUCCCGCAACGAGCGCAACCCUUGAUCUUAGUUGCCAGCAUUCAGUUGGGCACUCUAAGGUGACUGCCGGUGACAAACCAAACCGGAGGGAGGGGGGGAAGUGCCAUAAAUUCAUCAUCCCCUUUACCCCGGGGACACACGCGUGUUACAAUGCCAGACCAAAGGGCUGCAAGACCGCAAGGUUUAGCCAAUCCCAUAAAUCUGUUCUCAGUUCGGAUCGCAGUCUGCAACUCGACUGCGUGAACGCUGG
rnacentral:rRNA from 1 species